rnacentral:lncRNA from 1 species
AAACCAGGCAGCGAUUCAGGGCAGACCUCCUUAUGCUGCUUCAGUGGAAGAAGUGGCCAAAGAACCUAAGUCAAAAUCUGGGGGAUCGAAGUCCUCUGCUAUGUCUUCAGACAGGUCCCUGGCUGAAAAUGGAGCGAUGGCCGAGGAGAAGCCAACUCCCCAGAUGAACGGGACCCCAGGUGAUGACAGGGCUCCCAGCCACUCUGAAAGUGCCUUGAAUAAUGACUCUAAAAUGUGCAAUACAAAUCCUCAUUGAAAUGCACUAAGUACAGACAGCCCUUGCCACACAGAAGCUGCUCUGGAGGCAGCUGUCUUAAAUAAAGAAGAGUAA